rnacentral:rRNA from 1 species
GGGUUGUGAGGUUAAGCGACUAAGCGUACACGGUGGAUGCCCUGGCAGUCAGAGGCGAUGAAGGACGUGCUAAUCUGCGAAAAGCGUCGGUAAGGUGAUAUGAACCGUUACAGCCGGCGAUGUCCGAAUGGGGAAACCCAGUGCAAUUCGUUGCACUAUCGUUAACUGAAUACAUAGGUUAACGAGGCGAACCGGGGGAACUGAAACAUCUAAGUACCCCGAGGAAAAGAAAUCAACCGAGAUUCCCCCAGUAGCGGCGAGCGAACGGGGAGCAGCCCAGAGUCUGAAUCAGCUUG